rnacentral:rRNA from 1 species
AAUCUGCCCUGCACUCUGGGACAAGCCCUGGAAACGGGGUCUAAUACCGGAUACGACACAUCACUGCAUGGUGAAUGUGUGGAAAGCUCCGGCGGUGCAGGAUGAGCCCGCGGCCUAUCAGCUUGUUGGUGGGGUAAUGGCCUACCAAGGCGACGACGGGUAGCCGGCCUGAGAGGGCGACCGGCCACACUGGGACUGAGACACGGCCCAGACUCCUACGGGAGGCAGCAGUGGGGAAUAUUGCACAAUGGGCGAAAGCCUGAUGCAGCGACGCCGCGUGAGGGAUGACGGCCUUCGGGUUGUAAACCUCUUUCAGCAGGGAAGAAGCGCAAGUGACGGUACCUGCAGAAGAAGCACCGGCUAACUACGUGCCAGCAGCCGCGGUAAUACGUAGGGUGCGAGCGUUGUCCGGAAUUAUUGGGCGUAAAGAGCUCGUAGGCGGCUUGUCACGUCGGAUGUGAAAGCCCGGGGCUUAACCCCGGGUCUGCAUUCGAUACGGGCAGGCUAGAGUUCGGUAGGGGAGAUCGGAAUUCCUGGUGUAGCGGUGAAAUGCGCAGAUAUCAGGAGGAACACCGGUGGCGAAGGCGGAUCUCUGGGCCGAUACUGACGCUGAGGAGCGAAAGCGUGGGGAGCGAACAGGAUUAGAUACCCUGGUAGUCCACGCCGUAAACGUUGGGAACUAGGUGUGGGCGACAUUCCA